rnacentral:misc_RNA from 1 species
UUGGAAUGAUAGUGUAACGGACUAAAAGCGUGAUGUAUGGUAAAAGAGGACUAGAUUUAAAGUUUAAUAUUUCUUUUUUUUUUUUACACAAAACUGAAAUAGAAUAAACUAAGUAGAAAUGAUAAUUUAAUUUGAUGAGGGGAAAUACCCCACAAUGAAUGAAUGCGGAUGGAUAAAAGAAGAAACUGGAAUGCGGAAUGACAGUGCAAUGGAUUAAAAGCGAGAAGUAUGAUAAAAGAGACCUAGAUGUAAAUUAUACGUAUUGUAAAUAAGGACUCCGAAACAUAAAACUCGGAGGCGUAGGAAAAAAAAAAAAAAAAAAAAAAAAAAAAAAAAAAAAAAAAAAAAAAAAACAUGAAAAUGAAAAAAUAAAACAAAAUAUAAAUAAA